rnacentral:misc_RNA from 1 species
AAAGGAUGCUGCCAUAGCAUUGCUUGACCAGAUACUUGUUGGAGGGGAUGAAAACAGCCAGUCUGUUAAUGCUUUGAGUGUUAUUUCUGCAAAUGGAAUUCCAGCGCUGGUCAAGUGUUUGGAUAGGGUGGAAGGAAGAAAAUCUGCUGUUUCCAUACUUCUAUGUUGCAUGCUUGCUGAUAAAAGUUGCCGGAACUUUAUAGCAAGUAGAAUUGAACUAUGUCCUGUUCUUGAAUUAUUUCAUUCGGGAAAUGAUAGUGUCAGAGGUAUAUGCAUAGAUUUU